UGCGUAGGCGGGGCAAUUAGUCAGUGGUGAAAUCCUGCGGCUUAACCGUAGAAUUGCCAUUGAUACUGUUGCCCUUGAGUAUAGUUGAAGUGGGCGGAAUAUGUAAUGUAGCGGUGAAAUGCAUAGAGAUUACAUAGAACACCAAUUGCGAAGGCAGCUCACUAAGCUAUCACUGACGCUGAGGCACGAAAGCGUGGGGAGUGAACAGGAUUAGAUACCCUGGUAGUCC
rnacentral:rRNA from 1 species